rnacentral:tRNA from 1 species
AGGCCCGUAGCUUAAUUGGCAAAGCGGCGGUCUCCAAAACCGAAGAGUGCGGGUUCAAUUCCUGCCGGGCCUGCCA